ensembl:lncRNA
AAACAAACAAACAGUAUAUAAAAUCCAAACAAACAGUAGAUAAAAUCCAAACAAACAGUAGAUAAAAUCCAAACAAACAGUAGAUAAAAUCCAAACAAACAAACAGUAGAUAAAAUCCAAACAAACAGUAGAUAAAAUCCAAACAAACAGUAGAUAAAAUCCAAACAAACAGUAGAUAAAAUCCAAACAAACAAACAAACAAACAGUAUAUAAAAUCCAAACAAACAAACAAACAGUAUAUAAAAUCCAAACAAACAAACAGUAUAUAAAAUCCAAACAAACAAACAGUAUAUAAAAUCCAAACAAACAGUAGAUAAAAUCCAAACAAACAGUAGAUAAAAUCCAAACAAACAGUAGAUAAAAUCCAAACAAACAAACAAACAGUAUAUAAAAUCCAAACAAACAAACAAACAAACAAUAAAAUCCAAACAAACAAACAAACAGUAGAUAAAAUCCAAACAAACAAACAAACAGUAUAUAAAAUCCAAACAAACAAACAAACAGUAUAUAAAAUCCAAACAAACAAACAAACAAACAGUAUAUAAAAUACAACCAAACAAACAAACAGUAUAUAAAAUACAAACAAACAAACAAACAGUAUAUAAAAUCCAAACAAACAAACAGUAUAUAAAAUCCAAACAAACAAACA